CAUCCUUCUCUUAAAAUGCCUUCCUG
rnacentral:piRNA from 1 species